AGUCGAACGAGCGAGAGAGAGCUUGCUUUCUCGAGCGAGUGGUGAACGGGUGAGUAACGCGUGAGGAACCUGCCUCAAAGAGGGGGACAACAGUUGGAAACGACUGCUAAUACCGCAUAAGCCCACGACCCGGCAUCGGGUAGAGGGAAAAGGAGCAAUCCGCUUUGAGAUGGCCUCGCGUCCGAUUAGCUAGUUGGUGAGGUAACGGCCCACCAAGGCGACGAUCGGUAGCCGGACUGAGAGGUUGAACGGCCACAUUGGGACUGAGACACGGCCCAGACUCCUACGGGAGGCAGCAGUGGGGAAUAUUGCACAAUGGGGGAAACCCUGAUGCAGCGACGCCGCGUGGAGGAAGAAGGUCUUCGGAUUGUAAACUCCUGUUGUUGAGGAAGAUAAUGACGGUACUCAACAAGGAAGUGACGGCUAACUACGUGCCAGCAGCCGCGGUAAAACGUAGGUCACAAGCGUUGUCCGGAAUUACUGGGUGUAAAGGGAGCGCAGGCGGGAAGGCAAGUUGGAAGUGAAAUCCAUGGGCUCAACCCAUGAACUGCUUUCAAAACUGUUUUUCUUGAGUAGUGCAGAGGUAGGCGGAAUUCCCGGUGUAGCGGUGGAAUGCGUAGAUAUCGGGAGGAACACCAGUGGCGAAGGCGGCCUA
rnacentral:rRNA from 1 species